rnacentral:rRNA from 1 species
UACGUAGGGUGCAAGCGUUGUCCGGAAUUAUUGGGCGUAAAGAGCUCGUAGGCGGUCUGUCGCGUCUGCUGUGAAAACUCGGGGCUUAACCCCGGGCCUGCAGUGGGUACGGGCAGACUAGAGUGCGGUAGGGGAGACUGGAAUUCCUGGUGUAGCGGUGGAAUGCGCAGAUAUCAGGAGGAACACCAAUAGCGAAGGCAGCUCGCUGGGACGUUACUGACACUGAGGCGCGAAAGCGUGGGGAGCGAACAGG